rnacentral:lncRNA from 1 species
GGCGCCUUUGUGGCCGGCCCCGAAGUGCGCGGCGACAAUGGCCGGGGUGACGGGGGUUAAUUCGCGCGCUGAGCCCACCUCUCUCCCCAGCUGCCCUUCUGUCAUCUCCACGUGGCCCCCCUCGGCCGGCAGCCCAGCCCCAGAACUCCAGAGGGAGCUCGAGAGAGGGUCACGGUAGGUUUCCCUGCUCUGGGGGCGUGCAGAAGGGUGGGGGCCGCGGGGUGGGGGGCUGGAGGGGGGGAGCGCGGGUGGAGGGGACGGGGGGUGGGUGUCAGAGUCUAUAAAUCACGCCCCACUGCGCUCCUGUUUAACACACACUUCUCCG